rnacentral:tRNA from 1 species
UGCCCCAUGGCUGAGUUGGUUACAGCGUCCGACUGUUAUUCACGAAGAUCGGAAGGUCGAGAGUUCGACCCUCUCUGGGGCAG